rnacentral:rRNA from 1 species
CGGGAGGCAGCAGUUAGGAAUCUUCGGCAAUGGGGGAAACCCUGACCGAGCGACACUGCUUGGAGGAUGAAGGUUUUCGGAUCGUAAACUCCUGAACGAGGGACGAAUAAUGACGGUACCUCGCUAAUAGCACCGGCUAACUCCGUGCCAGCAGCCGCGGUAAUACGGAGGGUGCAAGCGUUAUCCGGAAUCACUGGGCGUAAAGGGCGCGUAGGCGGUUUGUUAAGUCCGAUGUUAAAGACCGAGGCUCAACCUCGAUACGGCGUUGGAUACUGGCAAGCUGGACGGUUGGAGAGGAAGGUAGAAUUACCAGUGUAGCGGUGGAAUGCGUAGAUACUGGUAGGAAUACCCAUUGCGAAGGCAGCCUUCUGGACAACACGUGACGCUGAGGCGCGAAAGUGUGGGGAGCAAACCGGAUUAGAUACCCGGGUAGUCCACACCCUAAAC